rnacentral:rRNA from 1 species
CCCUUAGAUGUUCUGGGCCGCACGCGCGCUACACUGUUCGACGCAGCGAGUCUUAACCUUGACCGAAAGGUUUGGGUAAUCUUCAGCAAAGUCGAACGUGAUGGGGAUCGAUCAUUGCAAUUAUUGAUCGUGAACGAGGAAUUCCUAGUAAGUGCAAGUCAUCAGCUUGCGCUGAUUACGUCCCUGCCCUUUGUACACACCGCCCGUCGCUACUACCGAUUGAAUGGUUUAGUGAGAUCUCUGGAUUGACGCUGGCUAGGGGGCGACCCUUGGCCAGGCUGUCGAGACACUGCUCAAACUUGAUCAUUUAGAGGAAGUAAAAGUCGUAACA